rnacentral:rRNA from 1 species
UACGUAGGGGGCGAGCGUUGUCCGGAGUUACUGGGCGUAAAGGGCAUGCAGGCGGUCGGACGCGUUUCGGGUGACAGCGGGUGGCUUAACUACCCGAGUGGUCGAAAGACGGUUUGACUUGAGGACGCGAGAGGGACACGGAAUUCACGGUGUAGCAGUGAAAUGCGCAGAUAUCGUGAGGAACACCAGAGGCGAAGGCGGUUACCUGGACAGUUACUGACGCUCAGGCACGAAAGCAUGGGGAGCAAAAGGG